UACGGGGGGGGCAAGCGUUGUUCGGAAUUACUGGGCGUAAAGGGCUCGUAGGUGGCCAACUAAGUCAGACGUGAAAUCCCUCAGCUUAACUGGGGAACUGCGUCUGAUACUGGAUGGCUUGAGUUUGGGAGGGGGAUGCGGAAUCCAGGUGUAGCGGUGGAAUGCGCAGAUAUCAGGAGGAACACCGGUGGCGAAGGCGGGUCUCUGGGCAGUAACUGACGCUGAGGAGCGAAAGCGUGGGGAGCGAACAGG
rnacentral:rRNA from 1 species